CCAGCAACGCCGCGUGGAGGAUGAAGGUCGUAAGAUUGUAAACUCCUGUUAGAGGGGAAGAAUAACUAAGUUUGGAGCUUAGUAUGACUGUACCCUCAGAGAAAGCCCCGGCUAACUACGUGCCAGCAGCCGCGGUAAUA
rnacentral:rRNA from 1 species